rnacentral:lncRNA from 1 species
AGCGUGCUGCGCGCACUCUGCCUCUUAUGCUCCCUGCGCUCCAAGUGCAGCUGCUAUAAAUCAUUAAGUUAAUCAUCCUUUGGCCUGGAGAGCCGAGACAGACUGGGGCUUGCGGUUCUCAGCACAGUUUCCUGCUGUUUCUAAUGAGGCUUCAUAAACAGGUAAGAAAAAGCGCCGUUGGCCCCCUGAUUCCGCCAGGGCCUUCCUGAACCCGGGCUUCCUCUCCCAACAUCCGGUAAAAUUACAUCCUGGCAGCGGCUGGCUGGCAGGUGGCGGGGAGGCUGCUGCUCGUGCUGGUGUCAAGGACAGAGCAUUUGUUCUGCAGCAGACCGGAGAAGGACUUCCAAGGGGCUCUUCCAAAAGCACAGACGCGCUCUAUUUCCAGACCAGAACAAGAAAGGAUGUUGCCUCUUUGGAGCAAUUCUGUCAUCUUUUCUAAGGUUGCUGAACAUAAUAAAACACAGGAUGUCCAGGUCCAUCAUGACCUGCGCCAAAGGCAGAUGCUUUAAUGACUGAGCCACCCAGGCACCCCUAUAAAGGAAUGAAAGCAUCAUCUGUUAUGAGCCCUUGUUCAACAAGCCAUGUUGACAGCCAGAACAGAUUGAGGAAGCGGUCCUCAGAGGCAGGUCCCGGUGAAAGCAGGAAGCGGAAACCAUUUCUCCUUUGACACACUCCUCUCUGUGGCCUUUAGAUCCCCGACCUGAAUUGGGUCCUCACAGCCCUAGCGGCUUACUGCCUACUAUGUCCCAUGCAGGUUCACCGCUUCAAAUAGUGCCACAGCCUUAAGAUUACUUCCUCUUUUUAUUUCC